AUUUGAUCAUGCUCAGGAUGAACGCUGGCGGCGUGCUUAACACAUGCAAGUCGAACGGUGAACACGGAGCUUGCUCUGUGGGAUCAGUGGCGAACGGGUGAGUAACACGUGAGCAACCUGCCCCUGACUCUGGGAUAAGCGCUGGAAACGGCGUCUAAUACUGGAUACGAGUAGCGACCGCAUGGUCAGUUACUGGAAAGAUUUAUUGGUUGGGGAUGGGCUCGCGGCCUAUCAGCUUGUUGGUGAGGUAAUGGCUCACCAAGGCGUCGACGGGUAGCCGGCCUGAGAGGGUGACCGGCCACACUGGGACUGAGACACGGCCCAGACUCUACGGGAGGCAGCAGUGGGGAAUAUUGCACAAUGGGCGCAAGCCUGAUGCAGCAACGCCGCGUGAGGGAUGACGGCCUUCGGGUUGUAAACCUCUUUUAGCAGGGAAGAAGCGAAAGUGACGGUACCUGCAGAAAAAGCGCCGGCUAACUACGUGCCAGCAGCCGCGGUAAUACGUAGGGCGCAAGCGUUAUCCGGAAUUAUUGGGCGUAAAGAGCUCGUAGGCGGUUUGUCGCGUCUGCUGUGAAAUCCGGAGGCUCAACCUCCGGCCUGCAGUGGGUACGGGCAGACUAGAGUGCGGUAGGGGAGAUUGGAAUUCCUGGUGUAGCGGUGGAAUGCGCAGAUAUCAGGAGGAACACCGAUGGCGA
rnacentral:rRNA from 1 species